GCUAUACAUGCAGUCGAGCGAAUGGAUUAAGAGCUUGCUCUUAUGAAGUUAGCGGCGGACGGGUGAGUAACACGUGGGUAACCUGCCCAUAAGACUGGGAUAACUCCGGGAAACCGGGGCUAAUACCGGAUAACAUUUUGAACCGCAUGGUUCGAAAUUGAAAGGCGGCUUCGGCUGUCACUUAUGGAUGGACCCGCGUCGCAUUAGCUAGUUGGUGAGGUAACGGCUCACCAAGGCAACGAUGCGUAGCCGACCUGAGAGGGUGAUCGGCCACACUGGGACUGAGACACGGCCCAGACUCCUACGGGAGGCAGCAGUAGGGAAUCUUCCGCAAUGGACGAAAGUCUGACGGAGCAACGCCGCGUGAGUGAUGAAGGCUUUCGGGUCGUAAAACUCUGUUGUUAGGGAAGAACAAGUGCUAGUUGAAUAAGCUGGCACCUUGACGGUACCUAACCAGAAAGCCACGGCUAACUACGUGCCAGCAGCCGCGGUAAUACGUAGGUGGCAAGCGUUAUCCGGAAUUAUUGGGCGUAAAGCGCGCGCAGGUGGUUUCUUAAGUCUGAUGUGAAAGCCCACGGCUCAACCGUGGAGGGUCAUUGGAAACUGGGAGACUUGAGUGCAGAAGAGGAAAGUGGAAUUCCAUGUGUAGCGGUGAAAUGCGUAGAGAUAUGGAGGAACACCAGUGGCGAAGCGACUUUCUGGUCUGUAACUGACACUGAUGCGCGAAGAGCGUGCGGAGCAAGACAGGAUUAGAUACCCUGGUAGUCCACGCCAGUAAACGAUGGAGU
rnacentral:rRNA from 1 species